rnacentral:tRNA from 2 species
GGUAGCGUGGCCGAGCGGUCUAAGGCGCUGGUUUUAGGCACCAGUCUGAAAGGGCGUGGGUUCGAAUCCCACCGCUGCCA